GAGGGCAUAGCUCAGUGGUAGAUCGUGUGCUUGGCGUGCACAGGGUCCUGGGUUCAAUCCCCAGUGUCUCCG
rnacentral:tRNA from 1 species